GUGGGGAUGAGGAGGAAGGAAGGAGGAGGGAAUAGGAAAGGGGGGGGAAGGAGUCCUCUACACUGUCACCUCGUGAACCGGGAUCGCGUCUACCAAUUCUGCUCCGCUGGACUCUCCCAAACCACACAACCAGGCCGGCCGAGUCCUCCUCCGCCUCUGGACUCCGGUGGGGUCGCGGGGUCCCCACCCCCAAAAGACUUCCGCCGCGCGUGGCGAAGCUGACGUUCCGGAUUCGGCCACGGUCCGAGCCUGAGGAGGGACAGAGACACGGCGCGGAGGCGGCGGGGUUGGUCGGGGUCUCCGUGGGAUCAUCAUCAUCAUCAUCAUCAUCAUCAUCCCGGCAUCCGUCGAGCGCUUCCUCUGGGCCGAGCGCCGUUCUAAGCGCCGGGCUGGAUCCGGCUUUAUCGCGUUGGACCCGGGCCCCCGUGGGACUCACAACUCUUCACCCCCGUUUUCCAGGUGAGGGAACGGAGGCCCGGAGAAGCGCAGUGACUCUCCCGAGGUCAGCCGGCAGACGAGGGACGGAGCCGGGACGGGAACCCGGGUCCCUCUGACUCCCGGGUCCGGGGCUCUACCCGCCGGGCCGCCCUGCGCGUCACUGCAACAGCGGGUAGCCACGUGUCCCCUGCCCUCAACCUACACGAGGACUCCAAAAUUCACCAUUUUGGCCACUCCGACUUAUAUUAUAAUUAUGAUGAUA